AACGUAUUUCAGGCAAAAGUCUAGGUAAUUUGAUUGAGGACGCGUUUUGGAACGUUAAUUGCGCAGAAGGAUGCGCUGAAGGAUGCGCAGAACGUCAGUUAGGCGGUAAACGUCGAGAGAGUGAUUUCAGAAAUUUGUUGGAGUUAUUUUUAAUGCUCGAGGCGGCGGCAGUCGAUGAAAAUUUACUACGCUGCGGAGAAUCAUGUCGGUUUGUCAACAACACAGAAUUCACGACGCUAGCGAAAUCGACAUAACCAAUUGAUUGGAGAUCUAAACAUACAAACAACAAGCAAGAUUUAACAAAGGAAGUCGAAAAUCACUUGGGAAUCUUUCACAGGAUCGCUGACGGGAUCUCAGAGGUUCCUCGCGAUUAUGAUACUACAAAAGCAUGGGGAUUUGAAGAAGUCUUUUGUUGCCUGUCCUUUCUUCCACAUUUACAAAAACGUUCUACGUACGUUCCCGAAAGCGAGGCUGAUCCUUCGGACAUCGUGGACGAUCUUUGGCCGACAACCUUUGGGCUCCAUUAUCGAAAAAGAAAAAUGGGCACACCAAUACACGAAGAAACCAAUGAAAUUAUUUAUUCUCCAACGUCGACGAACUCUAUCUUCGAUCUUCUUAUUUCCGACCCUACCGAUGGCUAUCUAACUUCAACAUGAUUUCAACUUUACAUCGGAAAUCGAAAAUAGAAUGGAGAUGUACAAUCUUUGGAGCGCAAGUGGCUGUGAUCUCGAUGACGAUCUUUCGUACAAAAUUUAUGGGAGGAACGUUAAAUUAUCUAAGACUAACGCAUUCAUACAACCACU